ensembl:lncRNA
UGGGUGUGGAAUGGAAGCAGGAAGGACAAGGGGUACAAGGUUAUAGCAGUAACGAGGGGCCAGUUAAUGCAGGGCCUUGUAAAUCAUUGUGAUAAAUUUGGCCUUUACUUCAAGUGAGAUGAGAAGUCAGUGCAGAAGUUUGAGCAGAGGAGCACCAAGAUCUAACAUGUUUUGACAGGACCAUUUGAGCGGCUGUGUUGAGAGGAGACUCAAGAAAGUGGAGGUGUCCACCAGGAGCCGCUGGCACCCUUUGUCAGCGAGCUAAACACUCUCCUGGCCUUGGAGUCACAGAAGUUGAAGGAGGAGAUUCAAGGAGGCAGAGUUGCUGCAGGCCAACAAGGUGGAGCUUAAUGAGUCUUCUCCUGACUAAGCCUGACUAAUUUGUGAGAAUUUUGAAUAAACCUGACUCUUUCAAUAGUUGCAGUUAAUGCAAACUGUGAAGGAUUCCAUCCAAAAAGGCCUCCCAUCCAUCUGGAGCUAAUGAUGUUUCCAGCACUCAGCGAGGCUCCUGGGAACCAAACAACCCUGUUGUCAGCCUACCUGGUCUAGCAUUUCCAGGAGCAGCUGGCUUGUUCCAGAGAGGUCUAAGUCCUCCAAUCCAUCAGAGACGCCCCGGUCCGGUUCUGUGGAAAUUUCUAGGCUAGUUAUUUCCUCCAUGACUCAUCCAUGUGUUUCAUCCAAACUUAAAAAUGCUCCUCCUGUCACCAUCCUCUCCAAAGUCCCAACCCCUGUGGCUCUGUGCUUUCUUCUCCCUGAACAGACGUAAUUUCCACCGUAUUUCUUAGAACCUAUACUUAAUUGCACACAACAUCACAUACACCCUUAGCCUAGUCACAGAUCCUUCACCCAUUUUCUGGCUCUCACUGAAACCUUCUCUCUCAAGUGGACACUCUCAUUUGGGUUGGAGUCCUUGCUCCCAAUGUAACUUGUAGAUCUUUACUCCUUCGCAGUUCUCCUCGCUCAUUCCCCUCUUUCAGGGAGCCCCUGGGCUCACUGUCAAUCCUUUCAUCUCAGGUGUAUAAAUCCACCCUUCAUCUUAGGCUCUUAACUCCUUUUCUUCCUCAACAGACCAGGAACCUGGUAGCACCUACCAUCCAAAUAUACCCCAAAGCUCACCACUUCUUUCUGCCUCCACUGCCUCCACCUAGGCUGUAUUACAGGCCACCACAGUCUUUUACCUGUGCUGCUGUAACCUCGUAAAUCAGCUUUCUGAUUCUCCUUUUGCCCCCAUAGUCAGUUUUCCAUUCAGCUGCCGGAGGAAUUUCCCUAAAAUGUAUCAUGUCAUGUCAUGCCUCUGCUCAGAACCCUUUAGGGGCUUUCCAUCCCACUGAGACUGAAAUCCAAAGCCCUCUGGGGUCAACCCCUGCCCAUCUCUCUGCCUCAACUCCUAUCACAUCCCUCUUGUUCAGGCCGCCCCCGCCAUACUGGAAUCCUUCGGCUCCACCAAGCUCACUCUCUCCUCACAGUCUCUUCCUGGAGAGCUCCUUUUGUGGACAUCCACAUGGCUUUCUCUUCACUCCAUUCAGCUCCCUGCUUGAAUGGAAUGCCCCGGAGAGCCCUCCCUGAUCACUUUAUCCAGAAUAGUCCCUUCCUCUCCUUGCCCCCAAUAUCACUCUCAACUUGAAGCUGUGCACACCUUAAAACCACAGUUAUAAUGUCCAGGUGUGUUUGUUUAGGCCUCUUUCCUCCACUAGAACCCAAGUGCCUUGAAAGAAGACGGCAUUUGCCUGUCUUGCUCACCUCUGUCCCUUCAGGACCUAGAGCCACGUGUGGCACAUCAUCUGUGCUAAAUAAAUAAGUAUGGAAUGAAUGAAGAAAUGACUUCUUUAGUCACCAUGUCUUAAGGUCAUAAAACAAGUUUUGUG